GCCGGGGUAGCUCAACCGGUAGAGCAACGCAUUCGUAAUGCGUAGGUUGUGGGUUCGAGUCCCUCCUCCGGCA
rnacentral:tRNA from 1 species